rnacentral:rRNA from 1 species
ACACUCCUGCGGGAGGCAGCAGUGGGGAAUUUUGGACAAUGGGCGAAAGCCUGAUCCAGCAAUGCCGCGUGAGUGAAGAAGGCCUUCGGGUUGUAAAGCUCUUUUGUCAGGGAAGAAACGGUGAAAGCUAAUAUCUUUUGCUAAUGACGGUACCUGAAGAAUAAGCACCGGCUAACUACGUGCCAGCAGCCGCGGUAAUACGUAGGGUGCAAGCGUUAAUCGGAAUUACUGGGCGUAAAGCGUGCGCAGGCGGUUUUGUAAGUCUGAUGUGAAAUCCCCGGGCUCAACCUGGGAAUUACAUUGGAGACUGCAAGGCUAGAAUCUGGCAGAGGGGGGUAGAAUUCCACGUGUAGCAGUGAAAUGCGUAGAUAUGUGGAGGAACACCGAUGGCGAAGGCAGCCCCCUGGGUCAAGAUUGACGCUCAUGCACGAAAGCGUGGGGAGCAAACAGGAUUAGAUACCCUUGUAGUCCCA